rnacentral:misc_RNA from 1 species
UUAACUAUUAUAUAGUACUCAGACGACAUCAUGACAAGAGUUUUGGGUCCUCCGGCAGGCGCGGGCCAGCUGACGCCGGCGGUCCGAGGACGGGCCUGCCGAGGCAACAAAGUGUAUAGGCAGAGGGUGGGAGAUCUACCCCGAGGGGCACGUUCUCUUUAAUGAUCCUUCCGCAGGUUCACCUACGGAAA